ACAAUGCUGCCAAACAUUCUGCAAUGCACAGGACAGCCCCCAACAACAAAGAAUUAUCUGACUUAAAAAAUGAAAAGUUUGAGAAACCCUGCUAUGGGGUCUCUGUCACCCACACUAAAGUGCAGCCUCGAAGUCCUAGACGCAAGUCAUCAUCCCACUUCAGCCUCAAAACUAGCUGGGACUACAGUCACAUGCUACCACAUUUGGGGAGAAAGCAGAGAACACACAGUGGUUUUUUUUGCCUUCGUUCUUUGAAGCUAGCUCACACUUAACCAUAGAAACAGUAUGCAAGAUGUGGUACCUGCACUACCCUGCCCUUGAAACUGUUUGGCUUCUUACGUUCUGACCACCUCCAAACCCACAAUAUUUGAAAACACAGCUUUCCCUGAUGUCUGGCAUUUUUCCAUGAACUGCCAUUGUAUCUCCUUUUAUUUUUUACUACUUUGUUUAAACCCCUCAAACCUUUCAUCAUAAUAUGCUUCCAGUGGGUUUGGGCAGCUACUCUGAGAGCCUGAGUAUAAAUCAACACCAUUGUGAUUCCUGAAGUUGCAAAGUGCUGUCACUCUUGAAAC
rnacentral:lncRNA from 1 species